GUAGGAAUUGACGUUGUGCAUCUAUGGUACUCACUUUAACAUUUAUCUAUUGUGCUUAGCAUCUAUAGUAUUUCAUUUAACAGUUAUCUAUUGUUCGUAUCAUGAAUUGACGUUAUGCAUCUAUGAUUAUUUCACAUAUGUCAAAUACGAUCUGUCGUGUAAUAUUGAGGCUUGUCAUCCUUUCAUAAUUCGACUGUUUUACUUGCUUUCUGAUUAUCCAAGAAAAGAGAGAGACUUGAAGUCAACUUGGUCAUACUGAAACAAGCAAUGGGUUUCAUCUUUCCUGGACUAUAUUCUUGAUUUGCUGCUUUGUCUUCAUCUUCAACCAUUAUGCAGUCAAUUUUCAACCGACGAGUGAGAGCAAUUGGAGGUUUUUUGAGUUCUUCUGAAACAACGAAUUUUCUGCUAUGGUAUUUCUCCUGGAUUUAUUGUGCUUUUUACACAUAUAAACUUUGGAAUUUUACAAUCUACAGUUAAUUAAGAUCGACGUUGGAGAAGACAUAGAUGACCCCAUAGUUAAA